GUGUCUUGAAAAAAGAGAGAAGGAUUGCUGUUUACCUUGAAAGGGAUUUGCACUCUCUUUUGUUAUUACAGAUCACACACAAAGGACAAUCUUUGUCAAUUUUUCUCUGAUCCCUACUCAGAUAUUUUU
rnacentral:ncRNA from 1 species